GACCUUGUGAUCCACCCACCUCGGCCUCCCAAAGUGCUGGGAUUACAGCCCUGAGCCACCACGCCUGGCCCAUAAGGCAAUUUUCUUUAAUUCAUAUCAAAUAGGACAAGGGCAAUAUAAAAUUUGUAGCAAAAGUUUGUGUCUGAAUAUUGUUUCAACCCAAUAAAUCCUUGUCUGACUCUCCUCUCCCUCCUUCUUCGUGACCAGAUUUCCAGUCCCUAGGGACUCUGGAGGUGCAAGAGACAAACCACAACAGCCAGGCACUGAAAGGCAUUGGGAAGACAAUGAAGAAAAAGCAGAGACAUUCCAUAACCUCAUAGAGCUUACAGUGUCAUGGGAAGCCAAGUAGCAAGAUGUUAUAUUCUGUAUGUGAUGACCACAAUUGCUGCAGCCAUCUCAGGAUCAUGAAGGCAAUCAGCCCAAGAGGACAAGAUAACAUGUAAAGUGGCACAGCACAAAGACAGAAGGAACACAGGCCUUGCAAGACGUCAUUAAGCCUGUAAAUUAAUCUACCCUAAACAAUGCCUCUGGCUUAUUUUUAUGUGAAAUAAAAGCAUCCUAAUUAGUUUACAACAUAUAGAAAGUUUCUGAAUUAGUCCAAUAAGAGAUGAUGGUGGCCCAGAUAAGGGUCAUGGCAGUCGAGAUGAGAAGACAGAUUUGACAACUAUCUUGUAAAAGUGCCAGGACUUGGUAAAAGUUGGGGUGGGGACAGUGUGGGAGAGGCAAAUGUCAAGGAUAACCUCAGGUACUGGCUUGGCAACUGGGUAGAUGGUAGUGCCAACAGAGAGAGUAAAGUAGAUACUGGAAAAAGAGGUCUGUUUUGGGAUUUGGAGUAGGAGCAUUGGUGCUGUAAUUCAACUGUCAAUGAAACAUUCAAGUGGAACUAUCCAAUAGGCAGAGUGGAUACCCCAUGAUUCUGAAAAACAUCCUUGUUGCUCCUGUCUCCCACGGUGGCAAGACGGGUAACAAGCUGUAUUUAUUGAAUAUGGGAAUGUAUAAGUAUUUGGAAACAAGGGAAGAAAAAAAGGCCACUAUGGGAAGUGUUUCUGCCCCUCCUCAGUAUAAUUAUUUCAGUCCUCCUCAUUCCCAAUGAGAAGUGGACCUAAUAAUGAAACUGAUUCCACAGGACUGCAAAAAGCUUAUACUACCCACUUGAGGUGAGAUGAAACCAACAAAGUUCUCUUUCAACAUCUGAUUUAUGCAGGCACCCAUCUCUUGGGAACCAUAGCAGAAUCUGGAAACAAAGUAGGCAGCCAGGGAGUUCUUAGGGAGCUAUGAGAACUCGACUGCACAUUAAUAUUGAUUUACAAAAUGCAUCCUUCUUAGCAAAGCCACUGAGGCAUUGCACAGAGCAGAUGUGAAACUACCUGGCUGGUCUCCAACACAGCCACCCCAGUCCUCUUUGUAAAGCCUGCCCCCGGCACUAAGUAAUAUCUGGUCAGCUCCCUUGGCUUUCAGCCAGACACUAAAGUCAAAGGACAAAGGCUGUGGGAGAGCAGGACCCAGUCCCACUCAAUCCUGUAGAGAUCACCCCAAAGAGCACAGCAGGAAUCUCUCAACCCUACUAGGUGCUGGAAUGCAAUUUUCAAUUGACUGUUUCCCCUGACCUGCUCCUUUGUCUCUCCAACUCAGUAAGAGUUUUUACCUCAUAUAAUGUAAAAGUACAGGCUUUGGAGUCAGUAGACCAGAGUUCUAAUCCUGGAUCAGCCAUUUACUAGCUGUGGAACCUCAGCCAAGGCAAACUACUUCUUGGAGCCUCAGUUUUCCCAUCUGCCCAAUGGCAACAACACAAAAGGGACGACAAUACCUAUCUCACUAGGUAGAUGUCAAGAAAGCUUUACAUGUCAAGAAACUUUUGGGUCCCUUCAUUAUCCUGGCUGUACUCAAUUUGCCAAUAUCACUCUAACAGUUUGGAGUAGAUUGGGGGUAGUUGUGCCAGAGCAGGGCAAAUCCUUCCCCACUUCCUCCCCACCCUAGCUGAUGUGCUGGCCACUCCAGGAUGCAUUUA
rnacentral:lncRNA from 1 species